rnacentral:rRNA from 1 species
GAUGAACGCUGGCGGCGUGCCUAAUACAUGCAAGUCGAGCGAACAGAUGAGGAGCUUGCUCCUCUGACGUUAGCGGCGGACGGGUGAGUAACACGUGGAUAACCUACCUAUAAGACUGGGAUAACUUCGGGAAACCGGAGCUAAUACCGGAUAAUAUAUUGAACCGCAUGGUUCAAUAGUGAAAGACGGUUUUGCUGUCACUUAUAGAUGGAUCCGCGCCGCAUUAGCUAGUUGGUAAGGUAACGGCUUACCAAGGCAACGAUGCGUAGCCGACCUGAGAGGGUGAUCGGCCACACUGGAACUGAGACACGGUCCAGACUCCUACGGGAGGCAGCAGUAGGGAGUCUGCCGCAAUGGGCGAAAGCCUGACGGAGCAACGCCGCGUGAGUGAGGAAGGUCUUCGGAUCGUAAAACUCCGUUAUUAGGGAAGAACAAAUGUGUAAGUAACGAUGCACGUCUGGACGGUACCUAAUCAGAAAGCCAGGGCUAACUACGU